GAGAUCUGGGGUUGGAGACCCUGCUAUAAACACUAUGGAAUUAAUAUAAGCUGGAAAAUUAAGUUUUCUCAAGGUGCUCCUCAUAGACAACAGCAGCAUGACAAGGGGGAACAUAGGACUGAGGAGCAGCAGGAACUCCAUGAGUAAGGCAGACAGAACAUCAGCUGGGAGUGGCAGUGACUGUUAAACAGUACAGCAACAAAGACACUAUGACAGACUGUGCACACUUCAUUCAUGACCUUAAUUAUCACUUUUAUUUCAAGCUAGCUUAAGAUUUCAUCCCUGCAUCAACAGAACGUCUUCUUUGAAUGGUGAAAUGGAUGGAGAGUCCAAGAGAGGCAACUUAAUGGAAGAGAGCUCAAAUAUGAGCAUGAUGAGAGUUUGAGAUGAAUGACUUUAAAAGCACUGAUGAGACUGAAAAUGUGAGCGAUGUGGAAGAUGAAGAAAUAAAUGUCUCUAAGGACCAAAA